ACGGGAGGCAGCAGUCGGGAAUAUUGCGCAAUGGAGGAAACUCUGACGCAGUGACGCCGCGUAUAGGAAGAAGGUUUUCGGAUUGUAAACUAUUGUAGACAGGGAAGAUACAAGACAGUACCUGUAAAGUAAGCUCCGGCUAACUAUGUGCCAGCAGCCGCGGUAAUACAUAGGGAGCAAGCGUUAUCCGGAAUUAUUGGGUGUAAAGGGUGCGUAGACGGGAAUUUAAGUUAGUUGUGAAAUCCCUCGGCUCAACUGAGGAACUGCAACUAAAACUGGAUUUCUUGAGUGCGGGAGAGGAAAGUGGAAUUCCUAGUGUAGCGGUGAAAUGCGUAGAUAUUAGGAGGAACACCAGUGGCGAAGGCGACUUUCUGGACCGUAACUGACGUUGAGGCACGAAAGUGUGGGGAGCAAACAGGAUUAGAUACCCUGGUA
rnacentral:rRNA from 1 species